CCUACGGGCGGCUGCAGUGGGGAAUAUUGGACAAUGGGCGAAAGCCUGAUCCAGCCAUGCCGCGUGUGUGAAGAAGGCCUUCGGGUUGUAAAGCACUUUCAGUGGGGAAGAAAGCCUUGGGGCUAAUACCCUCGAGGAAGGACAUCACCCACAGAAGAAGCACCGGCUAACUCCGUGCCAGCAGCCGCGGUAAUACGGAGGGUGCGAGCGUUAAUCGGAAUUACUGGGCGUAAAGCGCGCGUAGGCGGUCUGAUAAGCCGGUUGUGAAAGCCCCGGGCUCAACCUGGGAACGGCAUCCGGAACUGUCAGGCUAGAGGGCAGGAGAGGAAGGUAGAAUUCCCGGUGUAGCGGUGAAAUGCGUAGAGAUCGGGAGGAAUACCAGUGGCGAAGGCGGCCUUCUGGACUGACACUGACGCUGAGGUGCGAAAGCGUGGGUAGCAAACAGGAUUAGAUACCCGAGUAGUC
rnacentral:rRNA from 1 species